rnacentral:rRNA from 1 species
UACGAAGGGUGCAAGCGUUACUCGGAAUUACGUGGCGUAAAGCGUGCGUAGGUGGUUCGUUAAGUCUGAUGUGAAAGCCCUGGGCUCACCUGGGAAUGGCAUUGGAAACUGGCGACCUAGAGUGCGGUAGAGGUAGUGGAAUUCCCGGUGUAGCAGUGGAAAUGCGUAGAGAUCGGGAGGAACAUCCGUGGCGAAGGCGACUACCUGGACCAGCACUGACACUGAGGCACGAA